AUGCGCAUGGCUGCUGCUGCUCCUGCUGCUGCUGCUGCGCGCUUGCGUGCCGUUGCGCUCUGGGCCGCCCUCCUCGUCCUCGUGGUCGGCGUCUUCUCCGUAUCCGGCGCGGAGGUGCCGAACAGCUCUUCGUCGCCGUCGUCGUCUCAUCUGGGGCAGCAGGGGGCUUUUACCAGCAGGAGACCGAGCGUGGAGCGGGAGCUCGACGCCGCGCGAGCCGCGAUACGGCGCGCGGCGCGGUUGCACCGUGGCAGCAACGCCAGCUCGGCGCCGGGAAGAUGGUUCCGCGGCGACGACGUGGACUAUGCUCUCCUCGCGAGGGUGUACCGCAACCCGGCAGCCUUCCACCGGAGCUACGUGGAGAUGGAGAGGCGGUUCAAGGUGUACGUGUACACGGAAGGGGAGCCGCCGAUCCUGCACGCGGGGCCCUGCAAGAACAUCUACACCAUCGAGGGCCGCUUCAUCGAGCAGCUCGAGCUCCUCGCGCCGCCGGCUGCCGGCGUCCGGACGUGGGACCCCGACCGCGCGCACGCCUUCUUCCUCCCCUUCAGCGUCGUCCAGAUGGUGCACUUUGCGUACCGGCCCCUCUCAUACGACCGCGCCCCGCUGCUCUCCCUUGUCCGCGACUACGUCCGCGUCGUCGCCUCCCGCCACCCCUUCUGGAACCGCUCCGCCGGCGCCGACCACUUCAUGCUCUCCUGCCAUGACUGGGGUCCUGACGCAUCCAAGGGGGACCCGGAGCUGUACGCGAACGGCAUCCGUGCGCUCUGCAACGCCAACACGUCGGAGGGGUUCCGGCCGGGGAAGGACGUGAGCAUCCCGGAGAUCAACCUCUACGACGGCGACACGCCGCGGCAGCUCCUGGGCCCUUCGCCGGGGCUGUCGGCGCGGCCCUACCUGGCCUUUUUCGCCGGCGGGCGGCACGGCCACGUCCGAGAUCUCCUGCUCCGGCACUGGAAGGGCCGCGACCCGGCCACAUUCCCCGUGUACGAGUACGACCUCCCCUCUACCACCGGCAACGGCAACAGCAGCGGCAGCCACAACCGGCGAGGCCGCGACCGGCAGAGCGACUACUUCGCCUACAUGCACCGGUCGCGCUUCUGCCUGUGCCCGAGCGGGCACGAGGUGGCGAGCCCGCGUGUUGUGGAGGCCAUCCACGCCGGGUGCGUGCCCGUACUGGUGUCGGGCGGCUACGCGCCGCCCUUCGCCGACGUACUGCGGUGGGAGUCAUUCUCGGUGUCCGUCCCCGUCGCCGACAUCCCCAGGCUGAAGGAGGUGCUGGAGGGGAUACCGACCGCGGAGGUGGAGCGGCUCCGGGACGGGGUGCGGCUGGUGAAGCGGCACUUCACUCUGCGGCAGCCGCCGGAGAGGCUCGACAUGUUCCACAUGAUCCUGCACUCCGUCUGGCUCAGGAGGCUCAACUUCAGGCUCGACCACUAUCCAGUUCAGAAUUCAGUCGGAUGA
rnacentral:rRNA from 1 species